UUCCGGUUGAUCCCGCCGGACCCGACCGCUAUCGGGGUGGGGCUAAGCCAUGGGAGUCGUACUCCUCGAAUACCGAGGAGUGGCGGACGGCUGAGUAACACGUGGCUAACCUACCCUCAGGACGGGGAUAACUCCGGGAAACUGGAGCUAAUCCCCGAUAGGUGGUGAAGCCUGGAAGGGUUCACCACCUAAAGGGUUCUACGGGGAUGUCCAUAGGAUCGCCUGAGGAUGGGGCCACGGCCCAUCAUGGUUGUUGGCGGGGUAACGGCCCGCCAAGCCGAUAACGGGUAGGGGCCGUGAGAGCGGGAGCCCCCAGAUGGGCACUGAGACAAGGGCCCAGGCCCUACGGGGCGCACCAGGCGCGAAAACUCCGCAAUGCGGGAAACCGUGACGGGGCCACCCCGAGUGCUCCGAAGAGGGGCUUUUCCCUGCUGUAAGUAGGCGGGGGAAUAAGCAGGGGGCAAGUCUGGUGUCAGCCGCCGCGGUAAAACCAGC
rnacentral:rRNA from 1 species